GAGGAGAUAUUGAGUACGUAACAGCUACCAACCUGAGAAUGUGGGAUAUCACGUAAAUUC
rnacentral:misc_RNA from 1 species